AUUGAACGCUGGCGGCAGGCCUAACACAUGCAAGUCGAACGAGUGGCGGACGGGUGAGUAAUGUCUGGGAAACUGCCUGAUGGAGGGGGAUAACUACUGGAAACGGUAGCUAAUACCGCAUCCCAUCGGAUGUGCCCAGAUGGGAUUAGCUAGUAGGUGGGGUAAAGGCUCACCUAGGCGACGAUCCCUAGCUGGUCUGCGAGGAUGACCAGCCAAACUGGAACUGAGACAGGGUCCAGACUCGUAGGGGGGGAAGCAGGGGGGAAUAUUGCACAUGGGGCGCAAGCCUGAUGCAGCCAGGCGGGGUGUAUGAAGAAGGCCUUGGGGUGGAAAAGUACUUUCAGAGGGGAGGGGUUACCGGCAGAAGAAGCACCGGCUAACUCGGUGCCAGCCGCGCGGUAAUAC
rnacentral:rRNA from 1 species